rnacentral:rRNA from 1 species
UACAGAGGUCCCAAGCGUUGUUCGGAUUCAUUGGCGUAAGGGUGUGUAGGUGGCGCCGUAAGUCGGGUGUGAAAUCUCGAGGCUUAACUCCGAACUGCAUUCGAUACUGCGGUGCUUGAGGACUGGAGAGGAGACUGGAAUUCAUGGUGUAGCAGUGAAAUGCGUAGAGAUCAUGAGGAAGACCAGUGGCGAAGGCGGGUCUCUGGACAGUUCCUGACACUGAGACACGAAGGCCAGGGGAGGCAAACGGG